CUGGCCGCUGGCCGCAUCGUGGCCACAGGGAGGCCGUGCCGCCGCCGCUCGAGUACACACCCAGCGUUGCAUCUGCUCGAUUCCAUACCUCCACCGGCCGCUCUAGUCCACAGCCCACGCCGCCUCCUAUAGCCGCUCGAAUCCACUCGUCCACCGUCCGCAGGAGCUGCCGCCGGAGUCCACGGACGGGAGACUGGGAGACGGCGGAAGAACAGGAUUUCGCCUCCGCCGACCAUUACUUGGACGCUGGUUCUCCACAAUCUGGUGGCGGGCGCCGCUGUUUCUCCACGUCGUCAGAUCGAGCCAGCUGAGGUUCAGACUGCAUGCUACAUGGAGGCAUGGAGGGGGUGGUCGGCUGUGUGCUUUGUGUUGGUACAAAACAACCUACUCUUUUCUGCUUGCUGGCUUUCUGCUGACUACUUGACCAACUUGCUUGGUGAUAUACUGCUGUGUGAGACCAUGUCUUGGUUAAAACUUAGUAUACUCUUAUAUUCAUGCUUGUAAUUCGGUCAGCUGCGACACCACGUGCUUGUUUGGAACAUCAUUUUGUACUUUGGUCAACAACAGUUCAGAAUUGAGAUAUACACAUCUUGUUUGGAACUUUAUUUUGUAUACUUUGGUUAACAGUUCAGAAUUGGCAUA